UACGUAGGGGGCAAGCGUUAUCCGGAUUUAUUGGGUUUAAAGGGAGCGUAGGCGGGUUGUUAAGUCAGUUGUGAAAGUUUGCGGCUCAACCGUAAAAUUGCAGUUGAUACUGGCAUCCUUGAGUACAGUAGAGGUAGGCGGAAUUCGUGGUGUAGCGGUGAAAUGCUUAGAUAUCACGAAGAACUCCGAUUGCGAAGGCAGCCUGCUGGACUGUAACUGACGCUGAUGCUCGAAAGUGUGGGUAUCAA
rnacentral:rRNA from 1 species